rfam:Felis catus isolate Cinnamon breed Abyssinian chromosome F1, whole genome shotgun sequence.
GCCUGGGUGGCUCAGUCGGUUGAGCGUCCGACUUUGGCUCAGGUCAUGAUCUCACGGUCCGGGAGUUCGAGCCCCGCCUCGGGCU